UGAUUGAACAAACCCUGUGAAUAUACCUAUGAAAUUUAAAGUUACCUGGAAAAAGGAGAUUGUGUUAAUAAAUGCUGUGUUUCAGUGUCUGGCAUCUUUGUUUUGGCUCUGUUAUAUGUAUUUACUCCCUGACAUUAGAUUUUCAUAAUGUUCAUUGUAACUAAUUCGUCUUCUCUGUCAUUUCUUCAGGGGUGUUCUUUACCAACGUAUAGCAUGCAUGCCUCCUGCCUCAAAUUUGUGAAGACAUAUUUAGUCACUCUCCCAGCAAACCAUGGGCGUCCGUCGGACGUCCGAAAAAUGCCAAAUAUCCAGUGCCAGGAUGGGUCGUCUAUCGGACGUACUGUGGACAUUCGUUUCUUGAUGUACGGAUUUGGAGAUUCAGUGGACAUCCGAGGUGCGUUCAAUGAUGGCCGUACACACGGCUGGUUAUAUUAUCAUAGAAAAUGCAUUAUAGGUUGCCCUCUCUCUGCACAUCAAACCUCUAUUCUGUAACAGUAUGUUAUACAGCAUACACAGUCAACGCUAGAGCACCGGUUUGCGAUGCCUACGUUUGCCCCUUAAAAGAGUGUGUCCCCUGCAAAAAGCAAAAACUGAAAAAGAUGCGUCAUUAGAACUGGUAACUCAUUACUGCGUUAAUCCCGAACCCGGACACGGAGAUUGUCUUUCGGGGCCCAGUGCGGUAACGCAAACCAGCUCGGAGACGCCGAUUCGAGCCCCGGGAAGAGUUUUCUUUUCUCUGUAAGGAGAUCGAGUCCCUGGAAUGGGUUCGCCCCGAGAUAGGGAUGGUGGCUCCGUAGAGCAGUGCGGUUCUUGCGCUGUCCGGUGCGCUCGCGUCGGCCCUUGAAAAUCCGAGUGAGGGAGUGUGAUUUUCGUGCCGGACCGUACCCACAUCCGCAGCAGGUCUCCAAGGUGAACAGCCUCUAGUCGAUGGACCAAUGUAGGUAAGGGAAGUCGGCAAAACGGAUCCGUAACCUUGGGAUAAGGAUUGGCUCUGAGGACUGAGCCGGUCGGGCUGGGGACCUGAAGCAGGAACGGCACUGCACCGGGACUGGGCGGGGCUCGCCGUUCACGCGGCGCGGCCAAGCCCGGACCAGCGUCGGGACCUUCCUGUGGAAAGCCUCAGCUGCGCGGCGUCUGAGGGCUUCGUGCCCAAAGUGCUAUGCUUCGGCCGGCAAAAAACAGUCAACUCAGAACUGGCACGGACCGGGGGAAUCCGACUGUCUAAUUAAAACAAAGCAUUGCGAUGGCCGCUGGUCGGUGUUGACGCAAUGUGAUUUCUGCCCAGUGCUCUGAAUGUCAACGUGAAGAGAUUCAUCAAAGCGCGGGUAAACGGCGGGAGUAACUAUGACUCUCGGGAUGGGAGUAUCUUGUGUGAUUGGCUGAGUUUUGCUCGGACUCAUAGUUGCUGGGGGGUCGGUGCGUGAUUCUAAAAUCCAGGCAGGAAAAUUUUCCAGAAUCACGGGAAACACUCCGAUCCCUCACGGUUCGUGCGCCUCCUCGCGGCGCCCGCUGGAAACGUGUCGGCCUGGAACCGGCUAAGUCAUGAACCGAAUCGAUCGUAAUGGAUCGCCAGUUGGUGAAAGCGAAAACACUAGCUGUGUCAACCCUGCUACCGCUGUGGCGGGGGGUCUGACUGGACAAUGCCGCGGAGCAAGUCCUCCGAGCACGGUCGAGCCAUUGGCUUCCGGCUCCGGGAUUCCAACAAUCCCCGUAAACUUCCAGUGCGAAGUAGAAGGUUGUUUCAAAACCUUCAAGACGAAGCAGGGGCGCGGCCAACAUGUCCGGCACGCGCACCCUGAAGCAUAUAACAACUCAAUCGUCACUAGCAGGAAAAAGGCUAGGUGGUACGAUGAGGAGAAGUUGAGGCUAGCUGCCCAGGAGGCGAGCCUAGAGCUCGAGUGGGUGGCACGCAAGAGUCGAGGCGAGAAGGUAAAGGGCCUGAAUGAGAAUCUACAGGCCGCCUUCCCAGAAAGAACCCUCGACGCUAUCAAGUCACGCCGUCGAAAUCCUGAGCACAGGCAGAUGGUUGAGGAGGCCAGCAAGCGGUUGGAAUUAAGAGCAUCCACCGUGGUAAC
rnacentral:ncRNA from 1 species